GUAGGAUACUUUCUUUUUUCCUCUCUAAACUUUGAUUAAACAACUUAAGCUUCAUUAGAAUAAAACAUUUGUCUCUUAGUCAUGUGGUCUCUACAAGUGAAAUGGGGUUUUUCUCCCCACUUCUAUAGAGAUAUCUAUGCCUGCAUUUUAUUUUUGCUUCUAUUUGGUAGACUUCCCUUUGAUGUUAUAAACCUAGAGAGUCUAAUUAAUACGGUCAUAUUUCUCAUGCAGGCUAUACUUUGGCUCCCAGUGGUACUGUGGAUAAUUUUUCAGAUUCUGGUCACAGUGAAAUUUCUUCACGAUCCAGUAUUGUCAGCAAUUCGUCUUUUGACUCAGUGCCAGUCUCACUGCACGAUGAGAGGCGCCAGAGGCAUUCUGUCAGCAUCGUGGAAACAAACCUAGGGAUGGGCAGGAUGGAGAGGCGGACCAUGAUGGAACCUGAUCAGUAUAGCUUGGGGUCCUAUGCACCAAUGUCCGAGGGCCGAGGCUUAUAUGCUACAGCUACAGUAAUUUCUUCUCCAAGUACAGAGGAACUUUCCC
rnacentral:sRNA from 1 species